UGUGGGAUGAACCAAACGUAGGAGUUAAGGUAGCCAAAGUGCCCGCUCAUUAGACCCCAUAAAAGGUAGUUGGUUGAUAUAGACAGCAGGACGGUGGCCAUGGAAGUCGGAAUCCGCUAAGGAGUGUGUAACAACUCACCUGCCGAAUCAACUAGCCCUGAAAAUGGAUGGCGCUGGAGCGGGCCACCUAUACUCUGCCGUCAUUGGCUUGUACGCCACUGCUGUGGACAGUCUGGCCAUGACGUGUAGGAGGGUCGUGGUGGUUGCGUUGAAGGCUUUGGGCGUGGGCCCGGCCGGAGCUUCCACCAGUGCAGAUCUUGGUGGUAGUAGCAAAUAUUCAAGUGAGAUCCUUGAAGACUGAAGUGGAGAAGGGUUCCACGUGAACAGCAGUUGAAUCUUAGGCUUAGGCUUAGGCUUAGGCUUAGGCUUAGGCUUAGGCUUAGGCUUAGGCUUAGGCUUAGGCUUAGGCUUAGGCUUAGGCUUAGGCUUAGGCUUAGGCUUAGGCUUAGGCUUAGGCUUAGGCUUAGGCUUAGGCUUAGGCUUAGGUGUCGUGGNGUAGGUCUAGGUCUAGGUCUAGGCUGGCUAGGCUUAGGCUAGGCUUAGGCUUAGGCUUAGGCUUAGGCUUAGGCUUAGGCUUAGGCUUAGGCUUAGGCUUAGGCUUAGGACUUGGCUUAGGCUUAGGACUUGGUACUUAGGCUUAGGCUUAGGCUUUAGGCUUAGGCUUAGGCUUAGGCUUAGGCUUAGGCUUAGGCUUAGGCUUAGGUC
rnacentral:ncRNA from 1 species